rnacentral:rRNA from 1 species
GACGAACGCUGGCGGCACGCCUAACACAUGCAAGUCGAGCGGGAUCUUGUGGAAUGCGUCUUCGGACAAGUGAAGCAAGUGAGAGCGGCGGACGGGUGAGUAACGCGUGAGUAACCUGCCCUAUACAGGGGGAUAGCCAUUGGAAACGGUGAUUAAUACCCCAUGAGACCACGCCAUCGCAUGAUGAAGUGGUAAAAACUGAGGUGGUAUAGGAUAGACUCGCGUAUGAUUAGCUAGUUGGUGAGGUAACGGCUCACCAAGGCGACGAUCAGUAACCGGCCUGAGAGGGUGAACGGUCACACUGGAACUGAGACACGGUCCAGACUCCUACGGGAGGCAGCAGUGGGGAAUAUUGCACAAUGGGGGAAACCCUGAUGCAGCGAUGCCGCGUGAACGAAGAAGGCUUUCGAGUCGUAAAGUUCUGUUCUUAGGGAAGAAAAUGACGGUACCUAAGGAGAAAGCACCGGCUAAAUACGUGCCAGCAGCCGCUGUAA